rnacentral:rRNA from 1 species
AAAAACUUGAGUGCAGAAGAGGGAAAGUGGAAUUUCCAUGUGUAGCGGUGAAAUGCGCAGAGAUAUGGAGGAACACCAGUGGCGAAGGCGACUUUCUGGUCUGUAACUGACGCUGAUGUGCGAAAGCGUGGGGGAUCAAACAGGAUUAGAUACCCUUGGUAGUCCACCCCGUAAACGAUGAGUGCUAAGUGUUAGGGGGGUUUCCCGCCCCUUAGUGCUGCAGCUAACCGCAUUAAGCACUCCCGCCUGGGGGAGUACCGACCCGCAAGGGUUGAAAAUCUCAAAGGGAAUUUGAACGGGGAACCCGCACAAGCGGUGGAGCAUGUGGUUUAAUUCGAAGCAACGCGAAGAACCUUACCAAAUCUUGACAUCCUUUGACCCUUCUAGAGAUAGAAGUUUCCCCUUCGGGGGACAAAGUGACAGGUGGUGCAUGGUUGUCGUCAGCUCGUGUCGUGAGAUGUUGGGUUAAGUCCCGCAACGAGCGCAACCCUUAAGCUUAGUUGCCAUCAUUAAGUUGGGCACUCUAAGUUGACUGCCGGUGACAAACCGGAGGAAGGUGGGGAUGACGUCAAAUCAUCAUGCCCCUUAUGAUUUGGGCUACACACGUGCUACAAUGGACAAUACAAAGGGUAGCGAAACCGCGAGGUCAAGCAAAUCCCAUAAAGUUGUUCUCAGUUCGGAUUGUAGUCUGCAACUCGACUACAUGAAGCUGGAAUCGCUAGUAAUCGUAGAUCAGCAUGCUACGGUGAAUACGUUCCCGGGUCUUGUACACACCGCCCGUCACACCACAAGAGG